rnacentral:rRNA from 1 species
CAGCCGCCGCGGUAAGACAGAGGAUGCAAGCGUUGUUCGGAAUUAUUGGGCGUAAAGGGUGCGUAGGCGGCUUGACAAGUCUUGUGUGAAAUCUAUGGGCUCAACCCAUAGUCUGCACGGGAAACUGUCGGGCUUGAGAAUGGGAGAGGUGAGUGGAAUUUCCGGUGUAGCGGUGAAAUGCAUAGAUAUCGGAAGGAACACCUGUGGCGAAAGCGGCUCACUGGACCAUUUCUGACGCUGAUGCACGAAAGCUAGGGGAGCAAACAGGAUUAGAUACCCGCGUAGUCCCUGUCUCUUAUAU